rnacentral:lncRNA from 1 species
GUCAUGCUAGUGUUAAUUCUAUAAAACUGCAUAUCUAAAUUUUAAUUUGAUUUAAGGAGUACAUCACAGGUCCUAAACACAUCCGACAAGCCAUUGACCGGCACUAAUAAAAUCAUCAGCUUCCUUCCCCACUCAUCGUCCUCACUUUCAGACAAAAAAUCCAAUUCGAAUCAAAGAUCGGAAUCAUACCUCCCGUGGGCAAGGUCGGCUCAAGAAAUGGAAGUUGUGAGAUGGAAAAAAAACCAAGAAAAAAGAACAGAAUUAGGGAUCAAUCCAUACACGGCUUGCCUUCUCCCCUUCCCCAUAGUAAGCCGCC